UAUGCUUCUCAGCCUUUUUACUGAGAUCAAGUGUAAUAUCUGUUCUUAUUAGUGUUGCUCGCGAAUAUUCGCAAUUCGAAUAUUAUUUGCGAAUUUCGCGAAUAGAGCGCUAUAUAUUCGUAAUUACGAAUAUUCGUUUUUUUUUUUUUUUUUUCACAGUACACAUCACAGUGAUCAUCCCUC